rnacentral:rRNA from 1 species
UACGGGGGGAGCAAGCGUUGUUCGGAUUUACUGGGCGUAAAGAGCGCGCAGGCGGUCGUUCAAGUCGAGUGUGAAAGCCCCCGGCUCAACUGGGGAGGGUCACUCGAUACUGAUCGACUCGAAGGCAGGAGAGGGAAGCGGAAUUCCCGGUGUAGUGGUGAAAUGCGUAGAUAUCGGGAGGAACACCAGUGGCGAAGGCGGCUUUCUGGCCUGUUCUUGACGCUGAGGCGCGAAAGCUAGGGUAGCAAACGGG